rnacentral:rRNA from 1 species
UACAGAGGGUGCGAGCGUUGUCCGGAAUCACUGGGCGUAAAGGGCGCGUAGGUGGCCCGACAAGUCAGUGGUGAAAGUUCGACGCUUAACGUCGAAUCGGCCACUGAUACUGUUGGGCUGGAGCACUGUAGAGGCUCAUGGAAUUCCGGGUGUAGCGGUGGAAUGCGUAGAGAUCCGGAAGAACGACCGGUGGCGAAGGCGGU